rnacentral:misc_RNA from 1 species
CUGGUGCUGGUGGUAAAGAUAAGAAUAUGGUAGAAGAUGGUUUUGGGAAGGAGCGAGUUUAUUUUAAACUCAACCAGAAACCUAAUGGAGUUCAUGAAGAUAAUUCUACUCAGAAAGAGGAGUCCUAUAUGACACUUAGUGGUCACAGAGCAGGUGAAGCUGCAAUAGUUUAUGAACAUGGAGCCGAUAUUGAGGCACUAAUGCCAAAACUUCGGAGGUCGGACUACUACACAGAGCCACGAAUCCAAGAAUUGGCAGCUAAGGAAAGGGCUGAACCAGGGUUCUGCCGCCAUGUAAAGGACUUUGUGGUUGGACGACAUGGUUAUGGCAGCAUUAAGUUCUUGGGUGAGACGGAUGUUCGCCGGCUGGAUCUGGAGUCCCUUGUUCAAUUUAAUAAUCGGGAGGUUAUUGUGUACACGGAUGACACCAAGAAACCACCUGUUGGACAAGGUCUCAAUAAACCUGCUGAGGUAACACUUCUUAACAUAAAAUGCUUUGACAAGAAGACUGGGCGUCAGUAUUCAGAAGGUCCAAAAAUUGAGAAAUACAAGGAGAUGCUUAAGAGGAAGGCGGAGGACCAAGGUGCUGAAUUUGUGUCAUAUGACCCUGUAAAAGGAGAGUGGAAGUUCAGGGUCAACCAUUUCAGCAAGUACAUGCUGGGGGAUGAAGACGAAGAAGAUGAUGACUGGGUGGUGGUGCAUUCUGCCAGAGGCUUUUGUUAAAUCAUGAGGUUUUGGAGGAAGACUUGUGUAAUGCAGGGGAUCUCUUUUUUUUUUUUUUCGUUGUAUUGGAG